AAAAGAGCUUUGAUAAGGAAAGUAACUUAAGAAAUGAUUUGCAGAGAGUCUUCGGUUGGUGGAAGAAGAUAAUGAUGAAUUAAGUGAAAAUCACCUUUGAGCUGAAAGUGCGAUAUUAGCAUUUUCAGGGUCCGCCCUCUAUAGCGGCGACGUAUCGCUGAUUUUGAUAGAAUCAGCCGCACGUGCAUGAGGUAGAAUUUUUGUGAGUAUUAUUCUACGAAUAAAUAGGUGGUACCGCGUUGAAGACGCCCUAUUA
rnacentral:ncRNA from 1 species